rnacentral:tRNA from 1 species
AGUAAGUUGGCAGAUUAGUGCAAUUGACUUAGGAUCAAUAUAUGAAAGCGAUUUCACUUACUA